rnacentral:rRNA from 1 species
ACAAGCAGCGGAGCGUGUGGUUUAAUUCGAUGAUACACGAAGAACCUUACCCAGGCUUGACAUGUUGGUGGUAGGGAUCCGAAAGGUGACCGACCCUUCGGGGAGCCUUCACAGGUGCUGCAUGGCUGUCGUCAGCUCGUGUCGUGAGAUGUCCGGUUAAGUCCGGUAACGAGCGCAACCCUCGCUGUGUGUUAUAUGUGUCACACGGGACUGCCGGUCUUAAGCCGGAGGAAGGUGGGGAUGAUGUCAAGUCAGCAUGGCCUUUAUAUCCUGGGCUACACACACGCUACAAUGGCCAGCACAGUAGGUUGCUAAGCCGCGAGGUGGAGCCAAUCCAUAAAGCUGGUCUCAGUUCAGAUUGCAGGCUGCAACCCGCCUGCAUGAAGAUGGAGUUGCUAGUAACCGCAGGUCAGCUAUACUGCGGUGAAUACGUUCCCGGGGCUU